AAUAACAUUUUGAUUUUUAAUCGACGUUUUAACUAGUUUGUAGUCAUCCUCAGGUUUGUAGUCAUCCUGAGGAUGACUACAAACUAGUCGAAACGUCGAUUAAAAAUCAAAAUUUUAUU